AUUGAACGCUGGCGGCAGGCCUAACACAUGCAAGUCGAACGAGUGGCGGACGGGUGAGUAAUGUCUGGGAAACUGCCUGAUGGAGGGGGAUAACUACUGGAAACGGUAGCUAAUACCGCAUACCCUCGGUUGAGCCCAGAUGGGAUUAGGUAGUAGGGGGGGUAAAGGCUAACCUAGGCGACGAUCCCUAGCUGGUCUGAGAGGAUGACCAGCCACACGGGAACUGAGACACGGUCCAGAUUCCUACGGGAGGCAGCAGUGGGGAAUAUUGCACAAUGGGGGCAAGCCUGAUGCAGCCAUGCCGCGUGUAUGAAGAAGGCCUUCGGGUUGUAAAGUACUUUCAGCGGGGAGGCGUUACCCGCAGAAGAAGCACCGGCUAACUCCGUGCCAGCAGCCGCGGUAAUUC
rnacentral:rRNA from 1 species